GGGGCUGUAGCUCAGUGGUAGAGCGCCUGCCUCACACGUGUGAGGCACUGAGUUCAAUCCUCAGCACCA
rfam:Ictidomys tridecemlineatus contig003265, whole genome shotgun sequence.